UACGUAGGGUGCGAGCGUUAAUCGGAAUUACUGGGCGUAAAGCGUGCGCAGGCGGUCUGUUAAGACCGAUGUGAAAUCCCCGGGCUUAACCUGGGAACUGCAUUGGUGACUGGCAGGCUUUGAGUAUGGCAGAGGGGGGUAGAAUUCCACGUGUAGCAGUGAAAUGCGUAGAGAUGUGGAGGAACACCGAUGGCGAAGGCAGCCCCCUGGGUCAAGACUGACGCUCAUGCACGAAAGCGUGGGGAGCAAACAGG
rnacentral:rRNA from 1 species